rnacentral:rRNA from 1 species
CAGGAAGAAGCUUGCUUCUUUGCUGACGAGUGGCGGACGGGUGAGUAAUGUCUGGGAAACUGCCUGAUGGAGGGGGAUAACUACUGGAAACGGUAGCUAAUACCGCAUAACGUCGCAAGACCAAAGAGGGGGACCUUCGGGCCUCUUGCCAUCGGAUGUGCCCAGAUGGGAUUAGCUAGUAGGUGGGGUAACGGCUCACCUAGGCGACGAUCCCUAGCUGGUCUGAGAGGAUGACCAGCCACACUGGAACUGAGACACGGUCCAGACUCCUACGGGAGGCAGCAGUGGGGAAUAUUGCACAAUGGGCGCAAGCCUGAUGCAGCCAUGCCGCGUGUAUGAAGAAGGCCUUCGGGUUGUAAAGUACUUUCAGCGGGGAGGAAGGGAGUAAAGUUAAUACCUUUGCUCAUUGACGUUACCCGCAGAAGAAGCACCGGCUAACUCCGUGCCAGCAGCCGCGGUAAUACGGAGGGUGCAAGCGUUAAUCGGAAUUACUGGGCGUAAAGCGCACGCAGGCGGUUUGUUAAGUCAGAUGUGAAAUCCCCGGGCUCAACCUGGGAACUGCAUCUGAUACUGGCAAGCUUGAGUCUCGUAGAGGGGGGUAGAAUUCCAGGUGUAGCGGUGAAAUGCGUAGAGAUCUGGAGGAAUACCGGUGGCGAAGGCGGCCCCCUGGACGAAGACUGACGCUCAGGUGCGAAAGCGUGGGGAGCAAACAGG